UGCGGGGAGGGGAGCGGCCACGGAGCGAGUCUCACUGCUUCCUCAGGGUAAAAGAAAAUAAAGAGUUAAAGCUGCAAUUCCGCGCACAGCUCUGGGAAGCGUUGGCUCGGAUUGGCUUGGUUCCAUUGUAUGAGGUAGAGACUUCUCAAGGAAAGCAAGAACUUUAUUCCCAUGUGGGCAGAAACCACCAAGUGAGGGUAACAGACCAUCCAAAGGGAGCAACCACUCCAACCCUUGAAAAAAAUAACUUUUGAAGUUGAGCUGAGACAGCCAACAUCAGUCUGUGAGAAAACUUUGGGCAUGUUCCCUCAGAAGAGGUGUAGAAGAAGAAAAGAUGAAAUAUGGCAAAGCAGAAUUAUUGGUAAUAGAAUGUAAAGCUGCUUUUACACUGCCUCAUUUUGUAUCCCUUAUGUUAUUUCUCACUUUCAGGACUUCCUGAAUUCACACAUAAAGCCAGUAGAAGCAAACUACAUAAUUGUUUGAAACAAGGGAAAUAAAAGCAGACUUGAUGAUGUAAUGAUGUUUUAAGCAACAAUUAUUUUAAGCAGAAAUAAUUAGAUUUCCCCUCAGUAGCAUAUAAUAGCAUGUAUUUUAAGCCAAUUUAGGGACAAAAUCAAAAUAUAUAUCAACAUUAUUCCCUCACGCAGAAACAAGUAUGGGGAGGAGUCUGAAGGGUGGAGACCAAGAAGUGCUGCUGAUAGAAUUUUUCGCAAAGCAGUUUGAUUCAAAGGUCUGAUGGAAACCCACUCACUUCACAAGGAUUGAAGAGAGCACAAAGGAGAA